rnacentral:rRNA from 1 species
CCAGACUCCUACGGGAGGCAGCAGUGGGGAAUUUUCCGCAAUGGGCGAAAGCCUGACGGAGCAACGCCGCGUGAGGGAUGAAGGCCUCUGGGCUGUAAACCUCUUUUAUCAAGGAAGAAGAUCUGACGGUACUUGAUGAAUAAGCCACGGCUAAUUCCGUGCCAGCAGCCGCGGUAAUACGGGAGUGGCAAGCGUUAUCCGGAAUUAUUGGGCGUAAAGCGUCCGCAGGCGGCCUUUCAAGUCUGCUGUUAAAAAGUGGAGCUUAACUCCAUCAUGGCAGUGGAAACUGAGGGGCUUGAGUGUGGUAGGGGCAGAGGGAAUUCCCGGUGUAGCGGUGAAAUGCGUAGAUAUCGGGAAGAACACCAGUGGCGAAGGCGCUCUGCUGGGCCAUCACUGACGCUCAUGGACGAAAGCCAGGGGAGCGAAAGGGAUUAGAUACCCCUGUAGUCCUGGCCGUAAACGAUGAACACUAGGUGUCGGGGGAAUCGACCCCCUCGGUGUCGUAGCCAACGCGUUAAGUGUUCCGCCUGGGGAGUACGCACGCAAGUGUGAAACUCAAAGGAAUUGACGGGGGCCCGCACAAGCGGUGGAGUAUGUGGUUUAAUUCGAUGCAACGCGAAGAACCUUACCAGGGUUUGACAUCCUGCGAAUCUCUUGGAAACGAGAGAGUGCCUUCGGGAGCGCAGUGACAGGUGGUGCAUGGCUGUCGUCAGCUCGUGUCGUGAGAUGUUGGGUUAAGUCCCGCAACGAGCGCAACCCACGUCUUUAGUUGCCAGCAUUUAGUUGGGCACUCUAGAGAGACCGCCGGUGAUAAACCGGAGGAAGGUGUGGAUGACGUCAAGUCAUCAUGCCCCUUACAUCCUGGGCUACACACGUACUACAAUGCUACGGACAAAGGGCAGCAAGUUCGCGAGGACAAGCAAAUCCCAUAAACCGUGGCUCAGUUCAGAUCGUAGGCUGCAACUCGCCUACGUGAAGGAGGAAUCGCUAGUAAUCGCAGGUCAGCAUACUGCGGUGAAUACGUUCCCGGGCCUUGUACACACCGCCCGUCACACCAUGGAAGUUGGCCACGCCCGAAGCCGUUACUCCAACCCUUGUGGAGGAGGACGUCGAAGGUGGGGCUGAUGACUGGGGUGAAGUCGUAACAAGGUAACC